GUCCACGCCCUAAACGAUGUCAACUGGUUGUUGGACGGCUUGCUGUUCAGUAACGAAGCUAACGCGUGAAGUUGACCGCCUGGGGAGUACGGCCGCAAGGUUGAAACUCAAAGGAAUUGACGGUGACCCCGCACAAGCGGUGGAUGAUGUGGUUUAAUUCGAUGCAACGCGAAAACCUUACCUACCCUUGACAUGUCUGGAAUCCUGAAGAGAUUUAGGAGUGCUCGAAAGAGAACCAGAACACAGGUACUGCAUGGCCGUCGU
rnacentral:rRNA from 1 species